AAGUCGAACGAUCCCUUCGGGGAGAGUGGCAGACGGGUGAGUAACGCGUGGGAACCUGUCCUGGAGUACGGAACAACAUGGGGAAACCCGUGCUAAUACCGUAUACGUCCUAAGGGAGAAAGAUUUAUCGCUCCAGGGUGGGCCCGCGUUGGAUUAGCUAGUUGGUGGGGUAAAGGCCUACCAAGGCGACGAUCCAUAGCUGUUCUGAGAGGAAGACCAGCCACACUGGGACUGAGACACGGCCCAGACUCCUACGGGAGGCAGCAGUGGGGAAUCUUGGACAAUGGGCGCAAGCCUGAUCCAGCCAUGCCGCGUGAGUGAUGAAGGCCCUAGGGUUGUAAAGCUCUUUCAGUGGUGAAGAUAAUGACAUUAGCCACAGAAGAAGCCCCGGCUAACUUCGUGCCAGCAGCCGCGGUAAUACGAAGGGGGCUAGCGUUGUUCGGAAUUACUGGGCGUAAAGCGCGCGUAGGCGGGCCGCUAAGUCAGGGGUGAAAGCCCGGAGCUCAACUCCGGAAUUGCCUUUGAUACUGGCGGCCUUGAGACCGGGAGAGGAGAGUGGAAUUCCCAGUGUAGAGGUGAAAUUCGUAGAUAUUGGGAAGAACACCCGUGGCGAAGGCGGCUCUCUGGCCCGGUUCUGACGCUCAGGUGCGACAGCGUGGGG
rnacentral:rRNA from 1 species